UAUAAUAUAUUUUUAAAGAACCUUUAAAGAAAUCAUAAAGAAAUAAUAUAGAAUUUAAAAAUAUACUAAAAUAAAAAUCUUAAUAAAAUAUUAAAAUAGAAAUUUUAAUUAAAUCCUAAUCAAAUCCUAGUCGAAUCUUCACAAAUCCUAAAUAAAUCUUAAUCAAAUCCUAAUCAAAUCCUAAGAAAAUCCUAACUAAAUCCUAAACAAAUCCUAAACAAAUCCUAAAUAAAUCCUAAAUAAUUCCUAAACAAAUUCCUAAAUAAAUCCUAACCAAAUCUUAAUAAAAUCUUAAAUAAAUCUUUAUCAAAUCCUAAACAAAUCCUAACCAAAUUCUAAAAAAAAUCCUAAAAAAACCCUAAAAAAAUCCUAUACAAAUUCUUACCAAAUCCUAAACAUA
rnacentral:lncRNA from 1 species